rnacentral:rRNA from 1 species
GUCUACGACCAUGCUACCCUGAACAAGCCUGAUCCCAUCUGAUCUCAGAAGCUAAGCAGGGUCGGGCCUGGUUAGUACUUGGAUGGGAGACCACCUAGGAAGACCAGGUGCUGUAGGAG